rnacentral:tRNA from 1 species
UGGGUUGUGGCUCAGUGGUAGAGCGCUCACCUAGCAUGUGCAAGGCCCUGGAUUCGAUCCUCAGCACCACAU